UGCUGUUCAUAAAAACAAGGUAAAAAAGACUAUACAAAAAAUAAAUACAAAAGUUAUAUUAAGUUUCUGUUACUUGUUUACAGCACUGAUGGCUGCUGGUACAAAACUGUUUUUGUAGCGUUUAGUUUUACAAGCUGGUACCCUGAACCUCCGACCUGAGGGGAGCAGCUGAAACUCACUAUAAAGAGGGUGGGAACAGAUAAGUAGAAGUUU